UACGUAGGGUGCGAGCGUUGUCCGGAAUUACUGGGCGUAAAGAGCUCGUAGGUGGUUUUGUCGCGUUGUUUCGUGAAAACCGGGGGCUUAACCCUCGGCGUGCGGGGCGAUACGGGCAGACUUGAGUACUGCAGGGGAGACUGGAAUUCCUGGUGUAGCGGUGGAAUGCGCAGAUAUCAGGAGGAACACCGGUGGCGAAGGCGGGUCUCUGGGCAGGUACUGACGUGAGACGCGAAAGCGUGGGGUAGCAAACAGG
rnacentral:rRNA from 1 species